UCUUUUAGCUGUGGAGAAGGACACAGAGUUUUAGGAUUAGCUAACCAAGAUGCCAGAUCACUAGGUACACUGCCAAGAAGUAGCUAAAAUGCAUCAGCACAGAUUAGGGGAAAAAAAGAGUAGGAGCUUAUCCACAAGGCCAUCACCUGUGCCAAGAGCAACAAUAAGCCAUGCUGGGCUUCUUUUCCACACAGGCAAGAAGAAAGCAGGAGAAAUGAGGAAUGAGUAGCAGCACACAUCUGCCUCACAAUUGGCCUGCAGCAAAAGGACACACAGGAUCUCUCCAUGCUGCUGCUGUUUUUGCACUAAUUUUACAGCAGGAUAGUGCCAGCUCAGUUCUCUCUUUCCACUGCUCAGCUCUAGAAUCAGUAGAAGUGGCAAGGGAUGGUGGUGGCUAUGAGGAAGCAGGUUGCUCACUCUGAAAUUGCAUUGCAGGAAGACUCUUUCCAUAAGGCAUCCCUCACGGCAUACUAGGCCUAUGAAACCAUCCUACAGUGCUUCAACAGUGGGCCCUGAACUUUCCAGGCUGGCUGAGAGGAAACUUGAGCCUAUGUCCUGGCAUUUUAUCCCUGUGUCUAACAAAAGAAAAGAGGAAAAGAGGAAGAAGAGAGGGCCAAAAUAAUAUGAAGCAAACAUGAGAAAUAGCUCAACACUGGUAAGGACAGACAGUUCCCUUACUGGAGUCCAAAAGCAGCUUUUUGCCAGUGGAAGAGCCAAAGCCAUAGGUUGAGAAAAAGUUGGAAUGGUGUGUGUUCAAACAUAGCAAGGGUGUGUGAGGAGAAGGUAGAGUAACGUUUCCUAAGCAUGUUAUAGUCAUUAAAAUAAAACAUCUCUUUAUGUUGAGUGCUUUAUGUUGGCUAUGUCUAAAAAAGCGUACAACAGCUUCCAGACAUACUGGUCUGUCUGCAGGGAGUUUCUCUGGUUAUUUUUAAAGCAAAAGAAUGGCAUUUUUCCUGAAAAUGUCUGAUCAAGGAAACUUGCAUUGCUGUGCUGAACAUGUACCACUUGCUGGUUUUUAACCCCCAACUGAACUUAUAAAGAAUUUGCAUUGAGUUUUUGUCCUGAUGUGCCAAAAAGAAAGGAGCACCAUCAUGUUUAACACCAAACCAAAAGUGUGCAGUCUAAGCCAUGGACAGGCUGAGAGACAGAGGGACUAGUGCCAGAUUCCAGCCAUCAGCAAAGAACAAGCACCUCAGAUGUACCAAUCUGGUAAUGGAGGUGCAGACAGUGAAAGGACAAAAUGAUUGCAGCAGCACCUGAAGAAUAAACACACACAUGGUUCUGGGUGUGUAAGAAGAACCCAAAAACUUCAGACAAACCACACAUGUUUGGGAUUUCUAUCUUUGUACUGAAAUACACCCAGUAACAGAGGCGUGGAAAAGAUCAAGCAUAGCUGGUGUAGCACUGUACCAGCCACUGAGAAGAAAAUUAACUCUAUCCCAGCUGAAACCAGGACACCAAACUACCAGGUACAUUUUUAAAGGAAAGAGACAAAGCACAGAUGUCCCUAGAUGAAUGAGCAAAGUGGAAUGCAGUCAGAAGGAGAAGGUAAAAAGAUGUGAAGUCACCAUCACUAACAAAGGAACCCUUUAUCAGCAAUGGCUUAAAAGGCAUUCCCUUCCACACUGUGGCAAGGUGUGGUAUCCUGUAAUGCAGGAUAUUGCCACUGCAAUUCUAUGCCACACAAGAAUAAUGUGAAGGAAAAUUAGAAAAAGUGGGUAAGAGCAAAUAUGUUCUAAACGGAUAUAGACCACAUUAGAAAAAAUAAGAAACUUCAGCCUAAACAAUUUUCAGUGUCUAUUAAUUUUUCACGGCAGUCCCAGUACAUUAAAUCACUGUUUCCAUUUUAAUUCAGGCUUUUGACUGAGCUAAUGAAACUAAUCACUUCAAAAGGAAUUCUUACCUUGUCU